GCAGGGAGAAAGAUUGGGAGCCUUCUCUGAGCCUUGCACUCCCGCCCCAGACCUUGGUUUUCCCAGGAAGCAGCAGGCAGGGGCAGGCCUGUUUCAGACUGAAGGCAAGACAGAUGCUCAUUAAGGAAGCUGAGAACAGAGGGAGGUGACUAAUGGUGUCAGGAGCAGAGCCUAGCGGGAGCAGAGAAUUGAGCAACGGGAUCAGAAUUGAAAGUGGGAGAAAACAGGAGAGGAGAGGAGUCAGCACCCAGAGCCAGCGCGGCUCUCACUCCCAAAGGAUUCUCUUAGGAGAAAACACAACCAGCCUCCUCCUACAACCUGCUUCUCUCCCUCCUGAAAGCUGUGAUCGUUGAAGACUACUCUGUCACCUUGUGUGGGGGAGGGGUGGCUAGGACAUGGAUACAGAUAAAGGAGACAGAGUUGCCCCGGCUGGAGUGCAGUCGUGCGAAGCUGGCUCCCUGAAGCCUCAACUGCAGGUGUGUUAUGUGUCCACCAUUUACUGAUCACCCCAUCUGAAGACGGUCCCCCGGCCCUGACCUAUUACUUUCUAUCUUAGCGCCCUGUUUGUUAUGGUACUAGGUAUAAUUCAUAUUAUUCCAUAUUGUCUUGUGUCUUCAUUUUUUGUGGGUUUUCACUCCUGGAGUGGAAGCUCUGUGAAGGCAGGGGCCACAUUGCCUGGUCAACACUGUAUUCCAGUUACUUAGCAUCAAGCUUCACACAUCAUGGUGUUAGUUAAAUACUCUUUGAAUGAACUGAAUGCAUGGAGCCG
rnacentral:lncRNA from 10 species